AAUGCACCAAUUUGUAAGUCGCUCUGCCAUAAGAGCGUCUGCUAAAUGACGUAAA
rfam:Salmo salar isolate Sally breed double haploid chromosome ssa05, whole genome shotgun sequence.